rnacentral:rRNA from 1 species
ACGUACACUCCUGCGGGAGGCAGCAGUGGGGAAUAUUGGACAAUGGGCGCAAGCCUGAUCCAGCCAUGCCGCGUGAGUGAUGAAGGCCCUAGGGUUGUAAAGCUCUUUCACCGGUGAAGAUAAUGACGGUAACCGGAGAAGAAGCCCCGGCUAACUUCGUGCCAGCAGCCGCGGUAAUACGAAGGGGGCUAGCGUUGUUCGGAUUUACUGGGCGUAAAGCGCACGUAGGCGGACUAUUAAGUCAGGGGUGAAAUCCCGGGGCGCAACCCCGGAACUGCCUUUGAUACUGGUAGUCUUGAGUUCGAGAGAGGUGAGUGGAAUUCCGAGUGUAGAGGUGAAAUUCGUAGAUAUUCGGAGGAACACCAGUGGCGAAGGCGGCUCACUGGCUCGAUACUGACGCUGAGGUGCGAAAGCGUGGGGAGCAAACAGGAUUAGAAACCCCGGUAGUCCCAUGAU